GACGAACGCUGGCGGCGUGCUUAACACAUGCAAGUCGAACGGAAAGGCCCUGCUUUUGUGGGGUGCUCGAGUGGCGAACGGGUGAGUAACACGUGAGUAACCUGCCCUUGACUUUGGGAUAACUUCAGGAAACUGGGGCUAAUACCGGAUAGGAGCUCCUGCUGCAUGGUGGGGGUUGGAAAGUUUCGGCGGUUGGGGAUGGACUCGCGGCUUAUCAGCUUGUUGGUGGGGUAGUGGCUUACCAAGGCUUUGACGGGUAGCCGGCCUGAGAGGGUGACCGGCCACAUUGGGACUGAGAUACGGCCCAGCCUCCUACGGGAGGCAGCAGUGGGGAAUAUUGCACAAUGGGCGGACGCCUGAUGCAGCAACGCCGCGUGCGGGAUGACGGCCUUCGGGUUGUAAACCGCUUUCGCCUGUGACGAAGCGUGAGUGACGGUAAUGGGUAAAGAAGCACCGGCUAACUACGUG
rnacentral:rRNA from 1 species